CCAAUUCAAAUUCAAGCCCCCCCCCCCCCCCCCCACGCUGAAUUCGAGCCCCCAUCGUCUCCUCCCUGCCCCCGUCGAACCUCAUCUGCCCACUGCCACCGGCGACGCCGUCUCUUUCAAGCGACACCGAACCCAUCUGCACAUCCCCAUCAAAGGAAAAGUCACUAACAAAUUCUGGAUGGCAUUCCCAUUUCACAUGUUAGAGUUGAGAGAGGAUAGAUGGUCUCCUUAUUUUUUGAUUAGUUGUAAAAAAAAUAGACAGUUGUUGUGAGACCUCAAUUACUUGUAAUACUAACAUCCUCUUUAUUUAUUAGUUGAUGAAUGCAACUUUGGGUCGUUUCAGGGUCGCUGUGUUAUUUGUGGAGGAGUGGGAAUUUCUUGUGGUUGCCAUUGUAAGGAAACAUAGAGACUAUAUAUUUGAAAAACUCAUAUAUUUAGUUAUCAUAUAACUGGAAUUUGGUAUGUGGUUGCUAA